CUUUAAACAUUCACAGGUGCACUUGUGGCAAUUGUGGUGCAAUGCCCACUGAGCAAGAACAUAAAUGCUGCAUGGAGACCCCUGAAGUUGUCAGAAUAAUUAACCAGGCACCAGUACCACCUACCUGUAUGAUUCAUCACCCGGGACUUGAACCUGUUUGCCUAAAUUUGUAUUCGUUACAGAAUGCACAUAACAUUUACAGGGCAGACUAUGGUCCUUUGAGACUCAGAGGGUUACACCAGCGCUACAGGCAUUUGGCUUACAGAAGCUUUGUCAGUUGGUGCUGGGGCUAUCUAGGCAGAAAGAUCAGGGUUGUAAUACCAUCAUGUGCUGUCCUGUGUAUACGG